AGAACGAACGCUGGCGGCGUGCUUAACACAUGCAAGUCGAGCGGAAAGGCCCUUCGGGUACGUCGAGCGGCGAACGGGUGGAGUAACACGUGAGCAACCUGCCCUUAGCUCUGGGAUAGCUCCGGGAAACCGGAAUUAAUACCGGAUAUUACACCGGCUGGCAUCGGCUGGUGUGGAAGAUUUAUCGGCUAAGGAUGGACUCGCGGCCUAUCAGCUUGUUGGUGGGGUAGAAGCCUACCAAGGCGACGACGGGGUA
rnacentral:rRNA from 1 species